rnacentral:rRNA from 1 species
UGGGGAAUAUUGGACAAUGGGCGGAAGCCUGAUCCAGCCAUGCCGCGUGUGUGAAGAAGGCCUUUUGGUUGUAAAGCACUUUAAGCGAGGAGGAGGCUACUUGGAUUAAUACUCUAGGAUAGUGGACGUUACUCGCAGAAUAAGCACCGGCUAACUCUGUGCCAGCAGCCGCGGUAAUACAGAGGGUGCGAGCGUUAAUCGGAUUUACUGGGCGUAAAGCGUGCGUAGGCGGCUUCUUAAGUCGGAUGUGAAAUCCCUGAGCUUAACUUAGGAAUUGCAUUCGAUACUGGGAAGCUAGAGUAUGGGAGAGGAUGGUAGAACUCCAGGUGUAGCGGUGAAAUGCGUAGAGAUCUGGAGGAAUACCGAUGGCGAAGGCAGCCAUCUGGCCUAAUACUGACGCUGAGGUACGAAAGCAUGGGGAGCAAACAGG